rnacentral:lncRNA from 1 species
CGGUACCUCAGAUGGAAAUGCAGAAAUCACCCGUCUUCUGCGUCGCUCACGCUGGGAGCUGUAGACGGGAGCUGUUGCUAUUCGGCCAUCUUCGAUGCCUGACAUUUUUAAGGCUAGGCUGGCAAACAAUCCAUGAAGACCGCCUCCAGAGAAGAGACUCAUAUUACGUAUAAGAGCUGAAAUGAGCUCCUCACCCCACCCACCCAAGCUCCACUGAGGGGGGAUUUGGAGGCAAAUGAAUGACUGAGAGCACUCAUCUAAGGCCAAGAGAGAGAAGUGGAAUCAUAAAGGAGAGGCAGAGUGGUCCACAGUUUGAGGAAGGAUGGUAGUGGUGGCGAAGAGAGGUGGGGACAGCAGGAAAGACUUCCUUAUAUUUUGAACUUACCUUAAUAAGGAUUCAUAGUUUUCCUGAGACCAUACUAUCUGAAUACAGUGCAUUAAAGGAGGUGCAGAGACUGAAGAUCUGCAUUAAGCAGCAAGUACUUCAGCCCAGGUCCAUGUUCUACGCUCUAUGCAAAUUUCAAAGCUACAUUUCUGGGACCCUUGGCAGGGUGCUCAGGCCAAGCGAGGAUACUGGGUAGAGUCACAAAUUACCCAUGUACUUCCUUUACAUUUGCUUCCACCAGGACUUUAAUUCAGUUUAAAUCAGUUCAAGGUGAAUAUCAAGGGAAACACUGAAGAGUAAAAGAAGUAACAAGAGAGUGUGGUGGGAGUUGUGUACCAAAAGGUAACAAAGACUGCUCUACCCAAUUGCCUUUGUGGAGUGAUGAUGCAUCUGUUGUGUGUGUGUAUGUGGGUUGUACUUUUUUCCUAUACUAUGUGUUGAAGAGGAGGGACUGGGCUGGCCAUUGAGGGAGUGGCCCAAUUGGCAUAUGCUGUGUGCACGGCCAUUCAGCAGGAGAGGGAAUAGCCAGUGAUGGAUCACCUUGACAACAGAGCCAGAAGGCUUCCAGGGUCUUCACAGGCUGGUGGCACCAUGCUAAAUAUACUGUAAUCUAAUACCUGCAACAUCUGUGCAGCCUCAGAAAACUGAUUUUGGCUACAGCUUGAGGAGGACUACCUUCUGAGACACAUUCACAUUAAAUAAAUUCAUAAGCCUGAUGAAGAUAAUUUGAAGGCCAAUUCAUUCUCUUCAGUUCUCUUCAAAGGCUGACAAUAUUUGCUCUACUCCACAUGAUCUUUCUGAACUGACCUCCUGCUACCCACCUCAUGCACCUUGCUUGAGCUACCCUGACCCCGUGCUCUUCCUCAAACACACCAGACAUGCUCACUCUAUCCAGGGUACUUUCCCUUAUUUAUCCUUACAUCUUGCUCCCUCAGCUCCUUUUGGACUUCUCAGUGAAGCUUUAUUCACAUCCUUGUUUAAAAUGCAACAUCAGAGGAGUCACAUCAGCAAGAUGACUGAAUCUGAGGUCCCAGGCUUCACUUUCUGCCACAGAUAUUUCAGCUAGCAAUUAUCCUCAGAUGAAAAGAACUUUGUGAAAACCCAAAAACUUAGGACUAAGACUGAGUGUAAACCAUAGAACUAAAUAAAAUUAUAUCAUAAGAUAAGAGGAAUGAUUUCACUUUGACUACAUCAUCAUUUCCCUCCUUCAAGACAACACGACACAUAGCGAAGAUCCCCUGAAUCGACAGUUUCCAUAGUGAGUAAAGAGCUCUGGAGGUAGUCAUCCAGCUUCUCAGUAUUCAGAGACACUUCUCAGGGAGCUCGCCCCCAUCUCACCUCAAAGGGAACACUAGGUGUAACAAUGGGACUAGACCACCUGGGAUCAGAUAGAAACACCAAAAGGAGGCUCAAGGAUCUUGAUGAUAGCCCUGUGUUUCUGCCGUUGAUGGCAUCCCAGCCAACAGCAGAGCUCACCCACAAAGCCAAGCUGGUGGAUCCCAGAAGUAUAGCAGGACGUUCAAGCUGGCUAGAGCCCUAGGCAGCCAGCCUCCAUACCCAGCCUUGGAGCCUACACCAGAUCCCCACCCAGGCAAGGAGACACCAGCCACAACACAUUUCUGUUGAGCGUAGG